UCAUUGGCGGGACUGUCAUCCCUUCUUUGC
rnacentral:piRNA from 1 species